rnacentral:rRNA from 1 species
GAGCCGAAUUAAAUACACAAACAUAUUCAUAAACAAAACAAAACAUUUGACCAACCUAGUAGAUGAGACUGAACAGUAAACAUCCUAGUACCGCAAGGGGAAAUAAACAAGCAAUAAAAAGCAAAGAUUAACCCUUGUACCUUUCGCAUCAUGGCUAUGCAAGAAAUCAAAGACAAGAAGAAUCAAAGCCUACACCCCGAAACCAGAUGAGCUACUUUCAAGCAGCCUAAUCGAGCACACCCUUCUCUGUGGCAAAAGAGUGGGAAGACUUUAAAGUAGAAGUGAAACGCUUACCGAAUCUGGAGAUAGCUGGCUACCCAAAAAAGAAUAUAAGUUCAACCACAGAACUAACAAGAACAACUUUCUCCCCUGUGGAAAACUAAUAGGGGUACAGCCUUAUUGAAACAGGAUACAACCUGAAUUUGAGAGGAAUAAACAUUAAAUCCCAGUAGGCCUUAAAGCAGCCACCUAACAAAAUAUAGUCAAAGAAUUACACACCCUUAAACCCCCCACUAACCAAAAACUCCAAAUCAACUAAAGGUAGACCCAUUACAAUGGGCACUAUAAUGCUAGAACUAAUAAUAAGAUAACCUCUCUUCAUGCACCUUUACACUAAAACCGGACCAACCACUAGCCAUUAACAGACCACAUAAGGUAUUAAUCAAACCCUUCACAACUUAACACAAACUGUUACCCCAACACAGGAGCAUUAAAAAGAAAGAUCAACUAUUAUAAAAGGAACUCGGCAAACAAAGACUCCAACUGUUUAACAAAAACAUAACCUUUAGAUUUACCAAUAUUAAAGGCAACGCCUGCCCGGUGAACAAUUAAACGGCCGCGGUAUCCUAACCGUGCAAAGGUAGCAUAAUCAUUUGUCUACUAAUUAUAGACCUGUAUGAAAGGCAAAAUGAGAGUCUAACUGUCUCUUAUAAUAAAUCAAUUAAACUGAUCUCCUAGUAAAAAAGCUAGAAUUUAACCAUAAGACCAGAAGACCCUGUGAAGCUUAAACUAAAAUAUUAAACCACAUAAUAACUACUUUCGGUUGGGGCGACCUUGGAAUAAAAAAGAACUUCCAAUAACACGAUUUCCACCGUACCAUCCACUUAGGCUCACAAGCAACUAAUGACCCAGCAAAGCUGAUAAUCGAACCAAGUUACUCCAGGGAUAACAGCGCAAUCCUCUUCAAGAGCCCAUAUCAAAAAGAAGGUUUACGACCUCGAUGUUGGAUCAGGACAUCCUAAUGGUGCAGACGCUAUUAAGGGUUCGUUUGUUCAACGAUUAA